rnacentral:rRNA from 1 species
AGAGUUUGAUCCUGGCUCAGGAUGAACGCUGGCGGCGUGCCUAACACAUGCAAGUCGAGCGAGAAAGCUGUUGUUGAUCCUUCGGGAGAUUCAACAGCUGGAGAGCGGCGGACGGGUGAGUAACGCGUGGGUAACCUGCCCUAUGGAGGGGGAUAACGUCUGGAAACGGACGCUAAUACCGCAUAAGCAGACGGAGCCGCAUGGUUCUGCCUGAAAAACUCCGGUGCCAUAGGAUGGACCCGCGUAAGAUUAGCUAGUUGGUGAGGUAACGGCUCACCAAGGCGACGAUCUUUAGCCGACCUGAGAGGGUGAUCGGCCACAUUGGGACUGAGACACGGCCCAAACUCCUACGGGAGGCAGCAGUGGGGGAUAUUGCACAAUGGGGGAAACCCUGAUGCAGCAACGCCGCGUGAAGGAUGACGGUUUUCGGAUUGUAAACUUCUAUCAGCUGGGAAGAUAAUGACGGUACCAGACUAAGAAGCCCCGGCUAACUACGUGCCAGCAGCCGCGGUAAUACGUAGGGGGCAAGCGUUAUCCGGAUUUACUGGGUGUAAAGGGUACGUAGGCGGUCUAUUAAGUCAGAUGUGAAAGCCCGAGGCUCAACCUCGGGACUGCAUUUGAAACUGGUGGACUAGAGUACAGGAGAGGAAAGUGGAAUUCCUAGUGUAGCGGUGAAAUGCGUAGAUAUUAGGAAGAACACCAGUGGCGAAGGCGGCUUUCUGGACUGUAACUGACGCUGAGGUACGAAAGCGUGGGGAGCGAACAGGAUUAGAUACCCUGGUAGUCCACGCCGUAAACGAUG